GAUGAACGCUGGCGGCGUGCCUAAUACAUGCAAGUCGAGCGAACAGAUGAGGAGCUUGCUCCUCUGACGUUAGCGGCGGACGGGUGAGUAACACGUGGAUAACCUACCUAUAAGACUGGGAUAACUUCGGGAAACCGGAGCUAAUACCGGAUAAUAUAUUGAACCGCAUGGUUCAAUAGUGAAAGACGGUUUUGCUGUCACUUAUAGAUGGAUCCGCGCCGCAUUAGCUAGUUGGUAAGGUAACGGCUUACCAAGGCAACGAUGCGUAGCCGACCUGAGAGGGUGAUCGGCCACGCUGGAACUGAGACACGGUCCAGACUCCUACGGGAGGCAGCAUUAGGGAAUCUUCCGCAAUGGGCGAAAGCCUGACGGUGCAACGCCGCGUGAGUGAUGAAGGUCUUCGGAUCGUAAAACUCUGUUAUUAGGGAAGAACAAAUGUGUAAGUAACUAUGCACGUCUUGACGGUACCUAAUCAGAAAGCCACGGCUAACUACGUG
rnacentral:rRNA from 1 species